rnacentral:misc_RNA from 1 species
GAUGAAGAACGCAGCGAAAUGCGAUACGUAAUGUGAAUUGCAGAAUUCAGUGAAUCAUCGAGUCUUUGAACGCACAUUGCGCCCCCUGGUAUUCCGGGGGGCAUGCCUGUCCGAGCGUCAUUGCUGCCCUCAAGCACGGCUUGUGUGUUGGGCCUCCGUCCUCCUCCCGGGGGACGGGCCCGAAAGGCAGCGGCGGCACCGCGUCCGGUCCUCGAGCGUAUGGGGCUUCGUCACCCGCUCUUGUAGGCCCGGCCGGGGCUUGCCGACACAUCAAUCUUUUUUCCAGGUUGACCUCGGAUCAGGUAGGGAUACCCGCUGAACUUAAGCAUAUCAAUAAGCGGAGGA